rnacentral:rRNA from 1 species
GAUGAACGCUGGCGGCGUGCCUAAUACAUGCCAGUCGAGCGAACAGAUGAGGAGCUUGCUCCUCUGACGUUAGCGGCGGACGGGUGAGUAACACGUGGAUAACCUACCUAUAAGACUGGGAUAACUUCGGGAAACCGGAGCUAAUACCGGAUAAUAUAUUGAACCGCAUGGUUCAAUAGUGAAAGACGGUUUUGCUGUCACUUAUAGAUGGAUCCGCGCCGCAUUAGCUAGUUGGUAAGGUACCGGCUUACCAAGGCAACGAUGCGUAACCGACCUGGCAGGGUGAUCGACCACACUGGAACUGAGAAACGGUCCAGACUCCUACGGUAGGCAGCAGUAGCGAAUCUUCCGCAAGGGGCGAAAGAAUGACGGGGCAACGCCGCGUGAGUGAUGAAGGUCUUCGGAUCGUAAAACUCUGUUAUUGGGGAAGAACAAAUGUGUAAGUAACUAUGAACGUAUUGACGGUACCUAAUCAGAAAGCCACGGCUAACUACGUG